AUACGGGGGCGGCAAGCGUUGUUCGGAAUUACUGGGCGUAAAGGGCGCGUAGGCGGGCGGGAAAGUCUCUCGUGAAAUCCCACGGCUCAACCGUGGAAUUGCGGGAGAUACUACUCGUCUUGAGUUCGGGAGAGGAGUGUGGAAUUCCCAGUGUAGCGGUGAAAUGCGUAGAUAUUGGGAGGAACACCGGUGGCGAAGGCGGCACUCUGGACCGAUACUGACGCUGAGGCGCGAAAGCUAGGGGAGCAAACGGGAUUAGAAACCCCAGUAGUCC
rnacentral:rRNA from 1 species